CGGGAUCCGCGGGUUUGGGACUCUCGGUAAACCCCGGAAGUGCCUGGUCCUAGAGGAUUUUUGCCUCUCUGUGUCCUGAGUUCACCAGGCAUGUCUCUUGCAGCAGAAAAGUUGGUCUUACCUGUGGUCCCGAGGCUCAAGUUUGCUCGUGGGGUGCUGCCUAUGAGCUCUCCGCAGCGGCAGCAACCAGUGACGCUGCCUUUUUUCUUUUCUCCCUCCACCCUUCUGGUGGCUCAGGUUGGACAACUAGGUGCCCAUGACCAACUCCUCAUUGUGGAUGAAUUUAGUCUGGUUGGACUUUCUCAGGAAAGGGCAGCAGAACUCAUGACUACAACCAGUUCCAUGGUUACACUGGAAGUUGCAAAUCAAGGCAUCCUCUCUCACUGCCUGUCCACCUAUCUUACCCAGCCAUUGUCCUCCAUGGUGCAGAGAGCCUCUUACCCCUUCCAAGGAAGAGCUUCAGGAAGUUUUACCUACUUGAGCUCCACUGAGUAGAGGCUGGCAAGUGUCUCUAGUGUGACAGUGAUAUGUGGAUCCAGAGGUCCUCAGUGGAAUCUAGCACAUGCAGCCAGGAGCACCUGAACUCUUCCUCCAAGUCAGUUGCCCCUGCUUCCACUCUGACCAAGAGUGGUCCUGGCCAUUGGGAAACCCCAGCAGAGGUGCUGCCCACCCCUGUGACUGUCUCCCAGCCCAUAUGAACAGACCUCCCUCCACCACCUCCUCUACCACAGGUCCACUACACCAGAUAUUGGUGGCAAUUCAGUGGAUUUGCCACUCCCCCCUCCUUCUGCAAACAAGGCAGCAUCCCAGUCUGCACAGGUGGCUGGGAAAAAAGAGUGAGGAGCAGCAGUGGUGGUCUG
ensembl:lncRNA